CUUACGACUCUCGGCAAUGGAUAUCUCGGCUCUCGCAUCGAUGAAGAACGUAGCGAAAUGCGAUACUUAGUGUGAAUUGCAGAAUCCCGUGAAUCAUCGAGUCUUUGAACGCAAGUUGCGCCCGAAGCCUCGGCCAAGGGCACGUCUGCCUGGGCGUCGCAA
rnacentral:rRNA from 25 species